rnacentral:rRNA from 1 species
CAGCAGCCGCGGGAAUACGUAGGGCGCAAGCGUUAUCCGGAAUUAUUGGGCGUAAAGAGCUCGUAGGCGGUUUGUCGCGUCUGCCGUGAAAGUCCGGGGCUCAACCCCGGAUCUGCGGUGGGUACGGGCAGACUAGAGUGAUGUAGGGGAGGCUGGAAUUCCUGGUGUAGCGGUGAAAUGCGCAGAUAUCAGGAGGAACACCGAUGGCGAAGGCAGGUCUCUGGGCAUUAACUGACGCUGAGGAGCGAAAGCAUGGGGAGCGAACAGGAUUAGAUACCCCUGUAGUCCCUGUCUCUUAUAA